rnacentral:misc_RNA from 1 species
AAACAUCUGAAUUUCAGGAGGAAUAUUGGCACUAGAAAUUUCAGUUGAUAAGGAAUGUAAAGAAGAAAGUACUGGGGGAGAAGCUACUGACUCAGAACUUUGAGGAGAAUCAGGACCUUCUUCAUGUAAUUCAACAAGGACACUGAUAUAAAAGAGUGGAGACUGAAAAUCAGUCCCUUGUGCAGUAACUGAUUCAGAUUAUCAACUUUGUAGAAGGCACUGAAUCUGUAAUUCCUUCACCACUUCCAGAUUCUCAAAUAAAAGAGGACUGGGUUGAAGCUUUUCAUCCGAUCCACACCCAAAGUCAUGUCAAAGGGACCUAAAUCCAGUGUCCUCAAAUCAAAA